rnacentral:sRNA from 1 species
GAAGAGAGACAAAGAGUAACCUGAUCAGUACAGCGAGGAUGAGAGUUACUUGCGAGGUUGUGGAUUGCGGAGGCGAAUGGUGUGAUAUUUAUUAGAGUAUUUAUAAUAAAUGACUAUAGAUUUGAAAAGAAUGUACAAACUAACCUUGAGUUACAGUAUCUUGUCGGAAACAUGCUGGAGAACACGUGUAAUUACGUAAAUGUCCUUUGUAACAUGUUAUUUUCCGAAAUACAUGCGAUAACAUAAUAUCCUCUUUUUAUUUUGUUAUUUUCUCUUAUUACAUAGUAUUUAUAAAAAACACAUGGUAUUUUUUGGAAAAAACAUUCUAUUCAGUUUAAUAUCUCUUUUUAUCAUGAUAUUUUGUAGUAAUACACGUUUUUUUAUUAAGAUCACACGUGAUUUCCUUAAAAAUAUAUUCUUAUUUUUUAGUAAUAUAUGGUUUUUAUUAAAAUCACAUGUAAUUUU